rnacentral:rRNA from 1 species
CCUACGGGUGGCAGCAGUGGGGAAUAUUGCACAAUGGGGGAAACCCUGAUGCAGCGACGCCGCGUGAGUGAAGAAGUAAUUCGUUAUGUAAAGCUCUAUCAGCAGGGAAGAAAAUGACGGUACCUGAGUAAGAAGCCCCGGCUAACUACGUGCCAGCAGCCGCGGUAAUACGUAGGGGGCAAGCGUUAUCCGGAGUUACUGGGUGGAAAGGGAGCGUAGACGGCAGUGCAAGUCUGGAGUGAAAGGCGGGGGCUCAACCCCCGGACUGCUCUGGAAACUGUACGGAUGGAGUGCAGGAGAGGUAAGUGGAAUUCCUAGUGUAGCGGUGAAAUGCGUAGAUAUUAGGAGGAACACCAGUGGCGAAGGCGGCUUACUGGACUGUAACUGACGUUGAGGCUCGAAAGCGUGGGGAGCAAACAGGAUUAGAUACCCCGGUUC